GGAAGGGGGAGCCGCCUUG
rnacentral:miRNA from 1 species